rnacentral:rRNA from 1 species
CAGGGUACUCGAGUGGCGAACGGGUGAGUAACACGUGGGUGAUCUGCCCUGCACUUCGGGAUAAGCUUGGGAAACUGGGUCUAAUACCGGAUAGGAGCCAUCUUUAGUGUGGUGGUUGGAAAGUUUUUUCGGUGUAGGAUGAGCUCGCGGCCUAUCAGCUUGUUGGUGGGGUAAUGGCCUACCAAGGCGGCGACGGGUAGCCGGCCUGAGAGGGUGUACGGCCACAUUGGGACUGAGAUACGGCCCAG